AUGUCGCUCCCAGAUAGUUGUUGUUGUGGUAUUGUUGGUAUGGGGAAGCUUCUUGCGAUUGUUGUUGGGGUGGGUAUGGUAUGGGAAAUUGUUGUUUUGGGAAUUGUUGUUGUGGUUGCUGGGGGAAUUGUUGUUGCGGGAAUUGUUGUUGUUGGGGGAANNNUUGCUGUUGGGGGAAUUGUUGCGGUUGCUGGGGGAUUUGUUGUCGUUGGGGGAAUUGUUGUUGGAGGAUUUGUUGUGGUUGAGGGAAUUGCUGUUGGGGGAAUUGUUGUUGUUGGGGGAAUUGUUGUUGUGGUUGCUGGGGGAAUAAUUGUUGCGGUUGCUGGGGGAUUUGUUGUUGUUGUUGCUGGGGGAAUGGUUGUUGGGGUGGGUAUGGUAUGGGAAAUUGUUGUUGUGGUUGCUUGGGGAAUUGUUGCAGUUGGGGGAACUUUUGUUGUUGGCGCAAUUGUUGUUGCGGUAAUUGUUGUUGUUGGGGGAAUUAUUGGUUGUUGUUGUUGCGAAAAUGGUGGUUGUUGCGGUAGUACUGGUUGUUGUUGUUGCGAAAACGGUGGUUGUUGCUGUGAAAAUGGUGGUAGUUGUUGCUGCGAAAAUGAUGGUUGUUGCGGUAGAACUGGUUGUUGUUGCUGCGAAAAUGGUGGUUGUUGCUGUGAAAAUGGUGGUUGUUGUUGCUGCGAAAAUGAUGGUUGUUGUUGCUGCGAAAAUGGUGGUUGUUGUUGUGAAAAUGGUGGUUGUUGUUGUUGCUGUGAAAAUUGCGCAAUUGCACUUGUCGCCGCAACGGCGAGGAGGGCAAAGACGAGGAAGGUCUUCAUGGUGGAUUGGUGUUAA
rnacentral:rRNA from 1 species